rnacentral:lncRNA from 1 species
UGUUUCAUUUGGGGGGAGAAGCCGCAGGCACAGAGGAAAGAAAUCGAAACAGAGAUGAGAGAAGGAAGGAAGGAGAAAAAAAAAAUAGAGGAAAGGAAGGAAUAAGUGUUGGUUUUCAACUUUCAUUCACUAAUUCUCUUUAUUCUAUUUUCAAGAGGUAAGUAUAAAAUAUGUUAAUUGAAUUUUGGAAACUUUGCUUAAAUUUGAAGUUAGCAAGGUAGACUAUUUUAAAUUAUGGUUAUGGAAUUUUAUUGUAUGUGUGGUGCAAUUAAAAUAAAAAAUUGUUUAGUAGAUGGUAGAAAAAGAAAGAUUUAUGGAUGGGUGAUGAGAUUUAAGGAACCUGUUCUAUAGUUUCUUUUGACUUGUGGCUUAGUGAAAAUAAAUGAUAUGGAAGUUAUAUAAGUAGGGAUUAAGAUAAUUAAAUUGAUGCUCUUAGCUAGAGAAAUUGAUUAGCAACCUGUCUAUACUUAAAAUAUAUAGAUGAUGUGCAUGUUUGGGUUGAAGUUGUGAGAAACGAGAGAUAAAAGUGAAAUGGGUUUGAUGUUCUUGACCUUAAUCCUGGAUUAUGUAUUCAUAAUUUCCUAAUUACUUGAAUUAUAUGGGUUUAUAUUGGUGUUAAGGAUGAAUUUUUGCUUUAGACAGCUGGAUGGGGGGAGGGGAACUUAUAUGUGAACAAGUGGCCGUUUGGGUUCCAUAAAAUAAGAAUCCUGGACUUAUCUUUUAGGCUUCUUUUUAAUUUGAACAAGGCUUUGUGAUGGGUUUUGGUUUCAGUAAAUCGAAUAUGAAACUUACUAAAUAUAUGGGUGUUUCCAUUGAUUGGUAGGGAAAUAAAAGAAACAAACUGGAUUUGAUAGAAGCUGUCCAAUUGGUUAUGUUAUAUAUUUUUAGACAAGGAAGAACUAGAAAAGAAAUAAAGAUUAAGAAAUAGAGGAAUAGAAGUAAGAUGAGUAUUUGGGAAUCCAUAACCAAUUUGAAUUAAUAAAAUUUUAUUGUUAUUUCAGGAUUGAGGCUGUGAGGAUAUUCCAAAAGCAAAAUGUCUAAAUUAGCUUGAAGCCUAUAAUUUAGUGAGUGAAAAAAUAUAAAUAUUUUUAAAGUAUUUAUAAAUUAAGUAUAUUAUCAAAGUAUAUGCAAUUAUGUGUUCGAAUUAUAUGGUUAUUAUGGAUAUAUCUUUUAUUAUGAUACAUGUGGACUUUCAAUUAUUGUAUAUGGUACAUUGUGAAUUAUGUGAUCUUGAGAUCGACCAGAAAAGUGCCCGUUAUUAUAUAUUUCUUCUAGUUCAUAGAGGGGCUUUGGCCGUGUUCUAUACUACACUGAGGGAUCGACUGGGGAUGAAGGGGUUGUGACCAUGUACAUAUAGUUCACUGAGGGGCCUUGACCGUGUUCUAUAAUUGAUUAUCAAAGGUCUUUGAGACCCGCUUUCAUCAUGGAGGGGCCCAAAGGCCUAUGGCAAAAGUGCUUGCCUGAUGGGUGGAUUUAAGAUUUUAGCCAGAGAGUACAUUUUUGAUGGAUCACAUGUGAUGAGAUGAUUGUAUAGAUAUUAGCUGAUGACUAUAUCGUGAUUAAGAGAUGAUAUUUACAGUGAUAUGAGUAUGUCUCACUUUUUUUCUAUAAUUGUACGAGGCUAUCAUGUGAAAUAUUAAAUGAUACGAACUCGAUGUUUGAUAAAAAUGUUUAAAGGAGAAAGUAUGAUUAUUUUGCGAACUAUUUCACUCACCAAAUUGUCAACUCAUAUUUUUCUAAAAUUAUUUUUACAGGGAAUAUUGGUCUUUGGUAGUUUGAGGAGCUUGGUGAUUUCAAAGUUAGAGCCACACGACGUGUUGAAGGAUAUGAGUCAAAUAUGAUUAAACCACAAAGUAAAGUUUUGGGCCCAUUGCACUAUGUUUUUAUAAACAUUUAACUUUAUUGCAUAUCUUGUAGUAACUAAUAGUGAGCCUUGAUAAUGGAUUUGACAUCUAGUCAGCAUCUAUUAUCAGCGCAUGCCACAUUUCGGGUCCACUAGGGUGAUUCGGGACCAGUCGUGUCAUGGUUUUAAAAAUUUUUAUGGUUCGUGCAUGUUCAGUAGGUAUGUUUACAUGUCGUGGUGGCAGAAAUCACAAGCUCUCUAACUCGAAUGUUUGGAACAAAAAAUGAUAGAUAUUUUUUUUUUUUUUUUUACAGAUUUAGAAAUGACUAGUAUGUAAGUGUGGUAGUUGUAGUGAUCCGAUGGUUGGAAAUGUUAUAAGUUGUUGGGUUGGAACUAUGUGUGUGUAACCUAUUAAGAUUUGAAUAGAUUGUGAUGAUUUUACGGGCAUUCGAAGUUAUAGAUGUUACAAUCACUUAAUUAUCAAUUUAUUUGUAGAACUACAUGAUUUUUUUUAUGUGUACAUAGGAAAAAUUUUAGUUAUAGCAUGCAAGAUAAAUAUAGGGAAAUGAUAUAAUGUGUGAUUGGUGAUAAUCAGUGAGGAAUUUUAAUUAUUUUUGAAGCCAAAUGGUC